rnacentral:rRNA from 1 species
AGCGGCUCUCUAGUCUGUAACCGACGCUGAGGUUCGAAAGCGUGGGUAGCAAACAGGAUUAGAUACCCUGGUAGUUCCCCCCGUAAACGAUGAAUGCUAAGUGUUGGAGGGUUUUCGCCCUUCAGUGCUGCAGCUAACGCAAUAAGCAUUCCGCCUGGGGAGUACGACCGCAAGGUUGAAACUCAAAGGAAUUGACGGGGGCCCGCACAAGCGGUGGAGCAUGUGGUUUAAUUCGAAGCAACGCGAAGAACCUUACCAGGUCUUGACAUCUUCUGACAAUCCUAGAGAUAGGACUUUUCCUUCGGGGACAGAAUGACAGGUGGUGCAUGGUUGUCGUCAGCUCGUGUCGUGAGAUGUUGGGUUAAGUCCCGCAACGAGCGCAACCCUUACUGUUAGUUGCCAGCAUUAAGUUGGGCACUCUAGCAAGACUGCCGGUGACAAACCGGAGGAAGG